rnacentral:rRNA from 1 species
UACAGAGGAUGCAAGCGUUAUCCGGAAUGAUUGGGCGUAAAGCGUCUGUAGGUGGCUUUUUAAGUCCGCCGUCAAAUCCCAGGGCUCAACUCUGGACAGGCGGUGGAAACUACCAAGCUGGAGUACGGUAGGGGCAGAGGGAAUUUCCGGUGGAGCGGUGAAAUGCGUAGAGAUCGGAAAGAACACCAACGGCGAAAAGCACUCUGCUGGGCCGACACUGACACUGAGGAGCGAAAGCUGGGGGAGCGAAACGGG